AUUGCUAGUAAUGGCAGGUCAGCAUACUGCCGUGAAUACGUUCCCGGGCCUUGUACACACCGCCCGUCACACCAUGAGAGUUGGAAAUACCCGAAGCCUGUGAGCUAACUUAAGGGAGGCAGCAGUCGAAGGUAGAGCCAAUGAUUGGGGUGAAGUCGUAACAAGGUAAC
rnacentral:rRNA from 1 species